rnacentral:rRNA from 1 species
GGUAAUGCCGGAUGCUCCGACUCCUCGCAUGGGGUGUCGGGAAAGAUUUCAUUGGUAUGGGAUGGGGUCGCGUCCUAUCAGGUAGUCGGCGGGGUAACGGCCCACCGAGCCUACGACGGGUAGCCGGCCUGAGAGGGCGACCGGCCACAUUGGGACUGAGAUACGGCCCAGACUCCUACGGGAGGCAGCAGUGGGGAAUAUUGCACAAUGGGCGCAAGCCUGAUGCAGCGACGCCGCGUGCGGGAUGACGGCCUUCGGGUUGUAAACCGCUUUUGAUCGGGAGCAAGCCUUCGGGUGAGUGUACCUUUCGAAUAAGCACCGGCUAACUACGUGCCAGCAGCCGCGGUAAUACGUAGGGUGCAAGCGUUAUCCGGAAUUAUUGGGCGUAAAGGGCUCGUAGGCGGUUCGUCGCGUCCGGUGUGAAAGUCCAUCGCUUAACGGUGGAUCUGCGCCGGGUACGGGCGGGCUGGAGUGCGGUAGGGGAGACUGGAAUUCCCGGUGUAACGGUGGAAUGU